UGACCUGGUCACAGCCCGUUUGAAGAUCACCGGUCUUGUUAUAUUGCCUGUCUCAACACACGGAUGGGUUACUCUAAGCUGUUUAAUAUGUUUAUCUUUGAUAUCCACUGGAUAAAGGUUGACAGACAGAUAACACGGGAGCUGCGUUCGUGGUGGUCGUCUUUGUGUCAAUACAAUACUGGGAUAUCAACUGACGAGGCAUGAACACAGGGGUCAAGGUCCUGUUGGUGCUGGUCAUUCUCUGGACAACGUGUUAUGUCUGGUACCGGUGGAAACAAGGACAUAUUUUUAUUGAAAUCCGAGACGGUCACGAGAAGGAGGGAGAUCUGACGUUCCUUGCCAGCGUCAUCAUACAGCAACAUUACAACGACGGUAAACUUGUUAUCGACGCUUCGGAUUUAGUCGGCCGUAUUGACCACCCUGACGUCACACCGCCGCGCGAUGUCAGUGGUGACGUUGGCAAGGACGACCACCCUGACGUCACGCCCCCACACGCCGUUAAUGAUCUCGUAGAUCCGAAGUUGAUGAAGUGAGGCACAGCAAAGAAUGUGGCCACACUACCCUUAUAACACUCCAGUGUGCUAUCCGAACCAUUGCACUUGAAAUUCCCAAACACGAAUUCAUGGCACGCAACACUCGCACAAGGAAUUUCCAUGUCUGUUUAACAAGGCAUGUGUGAAAAGGUUUGAAAUAAUGUGUUAAGUAAAAGACUGUGAAGAGUAUUCGCAUUGACAGUGUGUCUGGAGACGCAUGCCCACAAUACACAUAAGUAGCUGCCAUGAGUGCUUGUAUUCACGGUUUUUCAAGGCGAAUGAUAUAUAAGAAACUAACACGUGUAGUAUAUUUGGAAACGAAGUGGUCAACAUUCUGAAAAAGAUCGCUGAAAAAGAACAUGGCAUACUGUCAAUGGUGCACAAUGAAAGGUUGUGUAUUCAUCCAUACCGAACGGUCAAGGUAUAAUCGCAUAAACGAAAUAACGCAUUCACGAGGAAGUGAUCAGUCAGAUGACACCUUUAGACGAGACUCUGUCUACACAUCUUUCUAAUGGAGAUUGAAUAUUGGUACGGAGGUUCUGAAGAUAAUGGACACGUUUUGUGAGGAAACAGAUAACACCAUGGGAUAUAGAAAAAAAACACACUUUACAAGCAAUGAUGACAGAUCUGAAUAUUCCCACAUGGCACGAUACCGAAAGUUAAAAAAGACAUUAAACUUUCAUAUCAUCUCCUGUUAUUUGAACAAAAGGUCAGAUUGGCGCUGUGGUGCCUCCCACUCACAGUGGCCAGUUAGUAACGCUUGUAUAAGCUAUUAUAUGUUAUGCGUGCAACAGUCUCCGUGUCCAGUUAUUACCAUUGCCCAGUUUGUGUUGAUGUUCCCGUGGUGUGCUGAUAUAUUGCACUCAAUACGCACACAUGUUGCCAUGUUGUGUAAUUACAUCUGCGAUGUAUUUGUACAACUUUGUAUUAUUUGACAAAUAUAGUGAGUUAUGUUAGUCCUGAUAUGUCAUAUUUGUGUUGGCGCUGCUGUGUUAUUUGAGUUGGCGCGUUGGGUUAGUCCUGUUGUGUCGUAUUUGUGUUGCCGCGUUGUGUAAGUCCUGAUAUGUCGUAUUUGUGUUGGCGCGUUGUGUUAGUCCUGAUAUAUCGUAUUUGUGUUGGCGCGUUGUGUUAGUCUUGAUGUGUCAUAUUUGUGUUGGCGCGUCGUGUUUGUCCUGAUGUGUCGUAUUUGUGUUGGCGCGUUGCGUUUGUCCUGAUGUGUCGUAUUUGUUUUGGCGCGUUGCGUUAGUCCUGAUGUGUCGUAUUUAUGAUGCCGCGUUGCGUUAGUCCUGAUGUGUCAUAUUUGUUUUGGCGCUGCUGUUUUACUUGUGUUGGCGCGUUGUGUUCGUCCUGAAGUGUCGUAUUUGUUUUGGCGCUGCUGUUUUACUUGUGUUGGCGCGUUGUGUUCGUCCUGAAGUGUCGUAUUUGUGUUGGCGCGUUGUGUUAUUCCUGAUGUGUUUUACUUGUGUUGGCGCGUUGUGUUGGCGCCGAUGUGUCGUAUUUGUGUUGAUAUGAUUUGUUCCUCGUGUGCUGGUGUGUUAUCCUUGUGUACAUUUUCAUUGUUACCACUGGGUAUAUGUGUACAUUGCCAUCUGAGGAAAAUACUUCUACAAGCAAAAAUACAAGCUGAGUAUCGCCUUAGGACACACUUGUACAUUGUUCCUCGAAGAUAAUUCAACUUUCGUUUCAAAGAAUAUAUACGCACAUUGUCACCGCUGCAAAACACAUUAACCCCUUGGAUAUUGCCCCUAAAAUGCAUGCACACAUUCAACCUUGGGAAAUACCCAGGAAAUGCAUAAACACACGAAACCUUGGGAAAUACCCAAGAAAUGCAUGCACACAUUUAUCACUGGGAAAUACUCACGAAAUGCAUGCACACACGAAACCUUGGGAAAUACCAAAGAAAUGCAUGCACACUCACCUCUGGUAAAUACCCAGAAAAAACAUGUACACUCACAUCUGGGAAAUAACCAAGAAAUGCAUGCACACAUGAAACCCUGGCAAAUACCCAGGAAAUGCAAGCACACAUUCAUCCCUGGGAAAUACCCAAGAAAUACAUUCACAAUUUUAUCACUGGGAAAUACCCAAGAAACACAUAAACACAUUCAACAGUGGGAAAUACCCAGGAAAUGCAAGCACACAUUGAUCCCUGGGAAAUACCCAGGAAAUGCAUGCACUCUCACCUCUGGGAAAUACCCAAGAAAUGCAUGCACACAUUAAACCCUGGGAAAUACCCAAGAAAUGCAUGCACACACCCAACCCUUAGGAAUACCAAAGAAAUGCAUUCACUCUCACCUCUGGGAAAUACCCAGGAAAUGCAUGCACACAUUAAACCCUGGGAUAUGCCCAAGAAACGCAUGGACACAUUUAACCCAGGAAAAUGCCCAAGAAAUCCAUGCACACAUUCAACCAGGGGACAUACCAAACACACACUCACCUUCGAGGAAAACACCAAAAAUGCAUGCACACAUUCACUCAAGGAA